GACGAACGCUGGCGGCGUGCUUAACACAUGCAAGUCGAACGGAAAGGCCCUGCUUUUGUGGGGUGCUCGAGUGGCGAACGGGUGAGUAACACGUGAGUAACCUGCCCUUGACUUUGGGAUAACUUCAGGAAACUGGGGCUAAUACCGGAUAGGAGCUCCUGCUGCAUGGUGGGGGUUGGAAAGUUUCGGCGGUUGGGGAUGGACUCGCGGCUUAUCAGCUUGUUGGUGGGGUAGUGGCUUACCAAGGCUUUGACGGGUAGCCGGCCUGAGAGGGUGACCGGCCACAUUGGGACUGAGAGACGGCCAAGACUCCUACGGGAGGAAGCAGUGGGGAAUAUUGCAAAAUGGGCGGAAGCCUGAUGCAGCGACGCCGCGUGCGGGAUGACGGCCUUCGGGGUGUAAACCGCUUUCGCCUGUGACGAAGCGUGAGUGACGGUAAGGGGUAAAGAAGCACCGGCUAACUACG
rnacentral:rRNA from 1 species